rnacentral:rRNA from 1 species
UACGUAGGGGGCAAGCGUUGUCCGGAAUUAUUGGGCGUAAAGAGCUCGUAGGCGGCUUGUCGCGUCGGCUGUGAAAACCUGGGGCUCAACCCCGGGCCUGCAGCCGAUACGGGCAAGCUAGAAUUCGGUAGGGGAGACUGGAAUUCCUGGUGUAGCGGUGAAAUGCGCAGAUAUCAGGAGGAACACCGGUGGCGAAGGCGGGUCUCUGGGCCGAUAUUGACGCUGAGGAGCGAAAGCGUGGGGAGCGAACAGG